rnacentral:rRNA from 1 species
AGUGAACGCUGGCGGCGUGCUUAACACAUGCAAGUCGAACGAGAACGGAUUAUAGCUUGCUAUAAUUGUCAGCUAAGUGGCGCACGGGUGAGUAAUGUAUAGGUAAUAUGCCUCUUACUAAGGGAUAACAAAUGGAAACGUUUGCUAAUACCUUAUACUCCUUAUUAACAGAAGUUAAUAAGGGAAAGAUUUAUUGGUAAGAGAUUAGCCUGUAUUGUAUCAGUUAGUUGGUGGGGUAAUGGCUUACCAAGACUAUGACACAUAACUGGUUUGAGAGGAUGACCAGUCACACUGGAACUGAGACACGGUCCAGACUCCUACGGGAGGCGGCAGUGGGGAAUAUUGCACAAUGGACGACAGUCUGAUGCAGCAACGCCGCGUGGAGGAUGACACAUUUCGGUGCGUAAACUCCUUUUAUAUGAGAAGAUAAUGACGGUAUUAUAUGAAUAAGCACCGGCUAACUCCGUGCCAGCAGCCGCAGUAAUAC